rnacentral:miRNA from 1 species
UGGUACAUGGAGACCAUAGGU